rnacentral:rRNA from 1 species
UACGUAGGGGGCAAGCGUUGUCCGGAAUCAUUGGGUCGUAAAGAGCGUGUAGGCGGCCAGAUAAGUCCGACUGUGGAAAUCCUCCGAGGCUCAACUUCGAGCUGUCGGUGGAAACUGUCUGGCUAGAGUCCGGAAGAGGAGAAUGGAAAUUCCUGGUGUAGCGGUGAAAUGCGCAGAUAUCAGGAAGAACACCCGUGGCGAAGGCGGUCUCUGGGACGGUACUGGACGCUGAGACGCGAAAGCGUGGGGAGCGAACAGG